AGAGUUUGCGAAUUCAAGAAUGUAAAUAUUUAUAAUUAUGCAUAAUUUCUCAUUCUAUAAUCUAUUUGCUCUUACAUGGUACAAAAAAUUAGUAACAAAAUAAGAUUGGCAUCAACAGAAAGCUUCAAGGUUUGGCUGAAAGAGAAGUAAAGAUUAAAGAAGCAUGGUCAAGUGAGAUCAAAAUUUGAUGGAAGGCCAAGUCAACAAACAAUCAAAAAUACCUCAACCCCUUACCUCUAGGACUUUCUUCGUUUUCCAUUUUUUAUAAGAUAUUCUGUUUGCCUUUUGCUGUCUUUUCUUCCUAACUUGUUCAAGAUCUUAGGCACCCGCUCCAAGCGUUGUUGCCGCCUCUUGCCUCCUCUCAGCUUUCUAUUAUCCCCUUAGUUGCCGGCCAUCUCUUGCACAGAAGCGGCUCAUUUGGGAAAAUCUAAGCUCCCAUCCUAUGACUAGUUUUGGAGGUUACCAAGCUGGCAUUUAAAAUCCAUUGCGCCCAAUAGUCAAACUAGAGAGAGGAUAUAAACCUCCACAGCCACCUCUCACCUCCAGCUCCGACUUCCGUCGCUCGAUUCUUAUCCUUCUCCUCAUCGUCCUUCCCUACUCCUCCUUAGCUUCUCCUUCCUCUUCAGGAGCAUGGAAAAGGUGAGCGUUGUGAUUAGGUUUGAUGGAACAUGGACAACUUCAGCUGAUGGGCGUUAUGCUUAUGUUGGUGGUCGCACGACUGGAAUGAGAGUUGAGAAGGGGAUCGCAUACGAACGUUUUAUGGAAGACUUGCACAGGACCAUUAACGUGGAUGCAAAUAAAUGUUCUUUGGCAAUCGAAGUCUUAUUGCCUUGUAUUAACAUGUCUGCUCCCCCCAUGAGGAUAUGUGAUUAUCCUACUCUUUGCUUUUUCUUAGAUAAUGCUGGUGGGCCGGCUACUGGCUUUAUUCCGUUGUGUAUCACAGAGUAUGCCAUUUCUCUGAGGAGAGCAAAACCAAAACCCAUCGGAUGAUGAUUUCUUUUUCUGAUGACCAAGCAAUAAGAAGAAAGCAUGAUCCCAGUGGCAUUGUUGGUCAAUGUGGCGUGUAUGGACAAUUUAUUCCAG